CAGCGGAGGAGGCAAAGACAUAGACACCAUAAACUUUUCUAGAGGAAAUGAGAUGCAAAUCAGUAAAGGGCAGGAAAGAGAAAAACAAAUGCUCAGGUGCUGGAUGAUGGACUAGAGAAGCCUGUCACUGCUUCUUAGUGGAAGAGAGAGGUGUGAAGAGGAGCCAUCCUCCUGCUCUGAAGCCUUGGACAUUGACAAGUGAGGAUAUAAUGCCUGGAUCUGCAGCAACU
rnacentral:lncRNA from 1 species